rnacentral:ncRNA from 1 species
CCGUUGUCUGUUGCCUAUAUGGCCAGGCGAGACUGCUCCCUCACGGGAGAGGAAGGUGGGGAUGACGCCAGAUCAGCAUGUCCCUCUGAUACCUUGGGCCGCACGCAUAAUACAAUGGCCGGUACAACGGGUAGCAAUGCCGCAAGGCGGAGCCAAUCCUUAUAAAACCGGCCCCAGUACGGAUUGAGGUCUGCAAUCGACCUCAUGAAGCCGGAAUCGCUAGUAAUCCCGGGUCAGCCAAACCGGGGUGAAUACGUUCUCGAGUCUUGUACUCACCGCCCGUCAAGUCAAGGGAGUUGGGGGUGCCCGAAGGUCUGCCUCGCGCAGGACUACGGCAAAUUCAAUGACAAGGACUAAGUCGUAACAAGGCACGGGUAGCGGAAGCUGUUCGUGGAACAUAUCCAAA